GGCAGAGGCCUCAAGCGUUAGGCGGAAUCACUGGGCUUAAAGCGUGUGUAGGCGGAUCGUUAAGUGUCUUGUGAAAUCCCACGGCUCACCCGUGGAACUGCUGGGCAUACUGGCGAUCUUGGGCCAACUAGGGGCAACUGGAACAAGCGGUGGAGCGGUGAAAUGCGUAGAUAUCGCUUGGAACGCCGAAGGUGAAAACAGGUUGCUGGGGUUGUGCCGACGCUGAGACACGAAAGCCAGGGGAGCAAACGGG
rnacentral:rRNA from 1 species